GUUCCUGUCAGGACACAGCAUGGACAUGAGGGCCUCCACUCAGCUCCUGGGGCUGCUGCUGCUCUGGCUCCCAGGUUCCAGGUGUGCCAUCCAGAUGACCCAGUCUCCAUCCUCCCUGUCUGCAUCUGUAGGAGACACAGUCACCAUCACCUGCCAGGCCAGUCAGGGCAUUAGCAAUGAACUAAACUGGUAUCAGCAGAAACCAGGGAAAUCUCCUAAGCCCCUGAUCUAUUAUGCAUCCAGAUUGGAAACUGGGGUCCCAUCGAGGUUCAGAGGCAGUGGGUCUGGGACAGAUUUCACUCUCACCAUCAGUGGUUUAGAGACUGACGAUGUUGGAAAUUAUUACUGUCAACAAGAUUACAGUUACCCUCCCACAGUGUUACAAGGCUGA